rnacentral:rRNA from 1 species
UGAGGCGCGCCGAGUUUGAUCCUGGCUCAGAAUGAACGCUGGCGGCGUUAAUGCAAGUCGAACGGUAACAGGAGGAAGCUUGCUUCCUUGCUGACGAGUGGCGCACGGGUGAGUAAUGCAUAGGUAACGUGCCCCUUAGUCUGGGAUAGCCACUGGAAACGGUGAAUAAUACCGGAUACUCCUUCUCACUUAAUGUGAGUCGGGAAAGUUUUUCGCUAAGGGAUCGGCCUAUGUCCUAUCAGGUAGUUGGUGAGGUAAGAGCUCACCAAGCCUAUGACGGGUAGCGGGUCUGAGAGGAUGAUCCGCCACACUGGUACUGAGACACGGACCAGACUCCUACGGGAGGCAGCAGUGGGGAAUAUUGCACAAUGGACGAAAGUCUGAUGCAGCAACGCCGCGUGGAGGAUGACACAUUUCGGUGCGUAAACUCCUUUUAUAUGAGAAGAUAAUGACGGUAU